rnacentral:rRNA from 1 species
GACGAACGCUGGCGGCGUGCUUAACACAUGCAAGUCGAACGGAAAGGCCCUGCUUGCAGGGUUCUCGAGUUGCGAACGGGUGAGUAACACGUGGGUGGUCUGCCCUGCACUUCGGGUUAAGCCAGGGAAACUGGGCCUAAUACCGGCUGGGAGCCAUUUUUAGCGUGAUGGUUGGAAAGUUUUUUCGGUGUUGGAUGAGCUCGCGGCCUAUCAGCUUGUUGGUGGGGUAAUGGCCUACCAAGGCGGCGAGGGGUAGCCGGCCUGCGAGGGUGGACUGCCAUAUUGGGACUGAGAGAAGGCCCAGACUGCGACGGGAGGCAGAAGUGGGGAAGAUUGACCAAGGGGCGCAAGGCUGAUGCAGAGAGGCCGCGGGGCGGAAGACGGUCUUAGGGUUGUAAAAUCCUUUCGCUAGGGACGAAGCUUUUUGUGACGGUACCUAGAUAAGAAGCACCGGCUAACUACGUG